rnacentral:rRNA from 1 species
AUUGAACGCUGGCGGCAGGCUUAACACAUGCAAGUCGAACGAGUGGCGGACGGGUGAGUAAUGUCUGGGAAUCUGGCUUAUGGAGGGGGAUAACUACUGGAAACUGUAGCUAAUACCGCGUACCAUAGGAUGAGCCCAGAUGGGAUUAGCUAGUAGGUGAGGUAAAGGCUCACCAAGCCGACGAUCGCUAGCUGGUCUGAGAGGAUGACCAGCCACACUGGGACUGAGACACGGCCCAGACUCCUACGGGAGGCAGCAGUGGGGAAUAGUGCGCAAUGGGGGCAACCCUGACGCAGCCAUGCCGCGUGUAUGAAGAAGGCCUUCGGGUUGUAAAGUUCUUUCGGCAGGGAGGCGUUACCUGCAGAAGAAGCACCGGCUAACUCCGUGCCAGCAGCCGCGGUAAUAC